rnacentral:rRNA from 1 species
GACGAACGCUGGCGGCGUGCUUAACACAUGCAAGUCGAACGGUGAACGAGGGAGCUUGCUCCCUCCGGAUCAGUGGCGCACGGGUGAGUAACACGUGAGCAAUCUGCCCCGAACUCUGGGAUAAGCGUUGGAAACGACGUCUAAUACCGGAUAUGACGCGGGAGGGCAUCCUCUCCGCGUGGAAAGAACUUCGGUUCGGGAUGAGCUCGCGGCCUAUCAGCUUGUUGGUGAGGUAACGGCUCACCAAGGCGACGACGGGUAGCCGGCCUGAGAGGGUGACCGGCCACACUGGGACUGAGACACGGCCCAGACUCCUACGGGAGGCAGCAGUGGGGAAUAUUGCACAAUGGGCGCAAGCCUGAUGCAGCAACGCCGCGUGAGGGACGACGGCCUUCGGGUUGUAAACCUCUUUUAGCAGGGAAGAAGCGAAAGUGACGGUACCUGCAGAAAAAGCACCGGCUAACUACGUG